rnacentral:rRNA from 1 species
GUGGGGAAUAUUGGGCAAUGGGCGAAAGCCUGACCCAGCAACGCCGCGUGAGGGAAGAAGGUUUUCGGAUUGUAAACCUCUGUCCUUGGGGACGAAGAAAGUGACGGUACCCAGGGAGGAAGCCCCGGCUAACUACGUGCCAGCAGCCGCGGUAAUACGUAGGGGGCGAGCGUUGUUCGGAAUGACUGGGCGUAAAGGGCGCGUAGGCGGCCGAUUAAGUCUGGAGUGAAAGUCCUGCUUUCAAGGUGGGAAUUGCUUUGGAGACUGGUUGGCUUGAGUGCGGAAGAGGUAAGUGGAAUUCCCAGUGUAGCGGUGAAAUGCGUAGAGAUUGGGAGGUACACCAGUGGCGAAGGCGACUUACUGGGCCGUAACUGACGCUGAGGCGCGAAAGCGUGGGGAGCGAACAGGAUUAGAUACCCUGGUAGUCC